rnacentral:misc_RNA from 1 species
UUAAGUUCAGCGGGUAUCCCUACCUGAUCCGAGGUCAACCUAAUAGAAAGUUUUAACGGCGCGAACUCCCCUCUUCAUGAGCGAAUUGAAUGCCACAACGCUGAGAAUCGGGUCGUCCAGCCGGUGAAAUCGAGGCGUAAAGGAGCCUUAUCGCCCAAUACCAAGCCAGGCUUGAGUGGUGUAAUGACGCUCGAACAGGC